rnacentral:lncRNA from 1 species
GCAGUUUCCUCAGUGAAUGGCGGAAUUAUACCAGAAAAGACCACAGCAAGUGACAGAGCAAACAGAAUACAAGUUGAAAGGACAAUCGAUGUUUUUGCACCUAGCAAAGCAGUCAGACAACAUGAAGAGAAUAAACAAGCAUUUCAAAUACGUAAUGGAGUGACAAUAUAGGAGAAUAAUUUCAAAGAGAUGGUUAAUAAGCAAUAUGACAAUAAGGAGGAAAAGUAAUUGACUGUGGAAGUAAAAGUGACUGUCAAUCUCACAAAAUAUUUCCAAGGACAUAAAUGAAUACUCGAGAAGCCCUUAAAAUCAUUACUACACUGGUGAUGGCAUGUUAAUAGCUCACUUAAAAAAUUCAUUAACUUUGGAAGCAAAACUCACUACUCGUUAUUGCAUUCAUAAUAACACCCGCAUUUAAUCUAGGAACCUAAUAAUAAUAAUAAUAAUAAUAAUAAUAAUCAGCAGUAGCAUGAUUAGAUUAUCUUGCUCAGCCAUAAGUUCUUUGCUCUUCAAGAUCAUCAUGCUAUCAGCUGAUGGUCAAAAAACUUAAUUAUGUAUCAAUCAUCUAUACGUGAAGGGAUCUGACCGCAAGGGCAGUUUAAACAAACGAUUUAUUAUCAUCUUAUUACUCAACAGCCACUGAAAUUGGAAUUUUUCAGCAUGUUCCAGAAGUGGAAAGGUAAUGAAGUCUUGCUCAUGCUAUUUCAUACAACACUUUAAAUAACAUGUCAUGGAUUAAAUUCACAUUGGUUCAAACUUGAAAGUCAUCCUCUUUCUGCCUGGAAUAAAAAUACUUUGACCUUUAAAUUUGGGUAAUGACUAUUCUUAAUGGAAAAUGUAUUUGCAAAUUUACAGUUUCAAUAUUCAUUGAACAAUAAAAACCUAAGAUUGAUACCCUCAUUGUUGCUAACAAAAAUGUCAAUGCCAGGGGAAACCGUAGAAAGCAUUUUGUAAUAAUUAAACACCUGCAUUUAUUAUAAACAUAUACCUGAAAGAUGAAUAUAUGAAAGGAGAUACACCAGAGUUAGGCAUAUAACAACUGCAAUAAAAAGGGAAAGUCCCAGACUUGGCAACCACUC